AUGAUAUCGAAGCAUUUCUCAACCUGCCUUCAACUCUGGUGUCACUCCUGGAUGGGGUCACCACUGACGGGGGCACUGUACUCCAUGUGGUGGCCAUAUGGUGACAGUGAUGGCUUCUUGAGGAGUGUUGACAUCAUCCAUAGCAGGGCAAAACACCUCCUGUUUGCGCAAAACAAGAACGGCGACACGCCCUUGCACUGUGCUGCAAGAGCUGGGAUGUUCCGGAUGGUCUCUCAUCUCAUUAGUUUGGCCAGAGAUGAGAGUACGAGUGUUAACAGAGUGAAGGAAUUCCUGGAAAUGGAGAACAAGCUUAAGGAGACAGCAUUGCAUCACGCAGUCCAUAUUGGGGAUAAUGGCAUAGUCAAGCUGCUAAUGGAGGCAAACUCGGAGUUGGCCAGUUUUCCGAAAUCCGGCACUUCACCUCUGUACCUAGCCAUGUUGCUGGAAGAGGACAUCAUUGCUGAGACACUUUAUAGUGCAAGCAACAUGAAGCUUUCCUACUCUGGGCCUAAUGGACAGAAUGCGUUGCAUGCCGCAGUUCUUCGAGGCAGAGAGCUUACGAAAAAGAUCUUGGAAUGGAACAGUGAUCUCACUGCACAAACGGAUGAAAGCGGGAGUACACCUCUCCAUUUCGCUGCAGCUAUGGUAGGGCAAAGUCUCCGAGGAAGUGUAUGUUGCCAAGUAUUGGAAGCUAACUCAGCUACAUUGUAUCAAUCGGACCACAAUGGAUUAUUUCCAAUACAUGUCGCUGCCUCUGUUGGUGAAAGAGGGACAGUCAUCAUGUUUAUUAACAGGUCCCCAACCAGCGCCAGUUUGCGUGACAGUAUGGGAAGGACAUUCCUUCAUGUAGCUGCUGAGAAAAAGAAAGUUGGGAUAGUCAGUUUUGUUUGCAGAAAUCGAUCGCUCUCAUGGAUUUUGAAUAUGCAGGAUAAUGAUGGAAACACUGCACUACACCUAGCUAUCCAGACAGGGAGUCUUCCAAUGUUUUGUGCUUUGUUAGGUAAUCGGCAAAUACGUUUAAACUUAUCAAAUAAGAAACGACAAACUGCUCUAGAUACGUCGCAGUAUAAGAUCCCCUCGGGAUUUUUUGAUGAUCAGAACAGUGAAGCCAGGAUACACUUUGCACUUAAAGUCAUUAGUGCUAGGAGUGGUGGCUGUCGCCGGGAUCACUUUGAAGAUAACUACAAUGACCAGUUAAAACAUUAUGAAAAAGAAGAAUUAGCAAAGGUGAAAGAUUCAACACAAACAUUGUGUAUUGCUGUAGUUCUAAUUGCAACUAUGACGUUUGGUGCUACUUUUGCCCUUCCUGGAGGUUACAGAGCCGAUGAGCAUACCAAUGGAGGCACGCCUACACUUUCUGGAAGUUAUGCUUUUGAUGCAUUCAUAACAGCCAGCACACUCUCUUUCAUCUUGUCUGCGAUGUCUAUAGUAGGUCUCAUAUAUUCUGGAUACUACUCACGCAGUCGCAGAAUUUACUUACUCGUAGCCUUGCAUUUUGGAGCAACAUCGGUCACAUGUUUCACCGCAGCUUUUGCACUAGGAUUGUACAUGGUGCUAGCGCCAGUUGCUCAUAAGUCUGCCGUCACUAUCUGUGUCAUUAGCACCCUUGUUGUUCUAUGCAACAAAAUUGAAUUUUGGCUAAACUGGGCUCUUCUGACACGACCAUUAUGUACUCGAAUUGGGCUAAUUCGCAUGUUGGCAAUAUUGGCAACCAGAAUCAUUUGCAACCUGCUGAUGGAAUUUUGGCCCAUCAUAUUCAUAUUUGUCUGGGCCACAUAUACAAGGAACUAG
rnacentral:rRNA from 1 species